GUGUGUUUACGCAGUCUCUCUCGCCCUCGUCUCGGUCCUCGUCUGCUUCGUCAUCUCUGGUGCAGGAUAAACACACAGCUGGAGUCGCCUCGGAGACACACACACACACACACACACACACACACAGAGUCUGGUUUCCAUGACUUCAGAGGACAUUACAUUGACUUACAUCUAACCUUUAAUCUAAUAACUACUGACCCUGUGACCUCAUGUCUUCACCUUAAAAUGUGCCUGAUUGUUGUCCCCAUAAGGAAGUCCAGUCCCCAUGAUGUGCCUGUGUGAACUGAUUUAUGUCCCCACAACAUAAGGAAUACCAGAUUGACCUCAAUUGCACAAACUUCCCAAAGACGCAGCAGAAGACCUGCAGAUGCUGUGUCCCUCACGGACUUUGGUGCAGGAGACCUUUUUCUGCCUGGAUACAGAAGUUUGUGUCUCCUCGUAAUCCGCCGACUCUCCUGCGUCGUCCAUCCACUGCUGCCUCUAACUUGCAGCUGUAAAACAGGAGAGAAAACAAAGCAGUCAUCCGUCCAUAAGGCUUCCACGUGACUGGCUGACGUAACCGAGCAGUUGAAGCGUCGCCAAUAAAGUGGCUGAAUGAUGGUGGCGACAGGAAGUAGCUGCAGUAAUGGUUCCCGCUCGUCUACGCCCCCUGGCCUCUGAUGGCUGCGCUGCAGCGUGUGAAUGGCUAUGAUAUAUGGAAUUUGUGGGGAAUCACUCGAGGCUCACGCUCCCGUUACCCAGACGGACACAAGCGUCAGGAGGGAUGUUUGGAUUCAGCUCCAGUCGUCACUUCUGUUUUCUAUUCUCUGUGUGAAGCGUGGAGACUUGGACUCUUCCCUGCAUCAGCUCUCCGGAGGCUGCGUGGCACGAAGACGACACAAGGUUUCUCCACCGUUUUUGUCCAUCACACUGAAACCUUUAUUUACUCUAGAUAUGAACAGUCGGAUCAGUCCACACCGUCUGACAUGAUUAUAAGACAAGCUUUGGUCCACAUCACGAGUCUGAGGCUGCUGCGACAUUUCAAAGUGGGACAGAGUCUGAGAGCCUGCAGCGUUACAGCAGACACACACACACACACACAGAGAGAAUCCCUCAUGAGAAACAUAAGCUCAAUGCAUCAUUUCUAACCUUUGCCAGUCACUGGAGCUGUUUGUUUUGGACUGUCUCCACUCUCAGUGUGUGUGUGUGUGUGUGUGUGUGUGGUCUAUAUCACUAUUUUGUGGGGACAAAAUGUGGUCGUACAGAAUUAUAGGGACUUGUCUUUGCUGCUAGGACAAAAAUAAAGUCCUCAUAACAUUAAUUAACACAGGGAUUUAGGUUCAGGUGUAGCUUUAGCUUUAAAUUCAGGUUUACGUCCAGGUUUUUGGAUUUUUUGGAUUAGGUUCCAUUUCAUGGCAAAGGUGUAAGUCCAGGAUCAAGUUCAGGUGUCGGGUCCAGUUUCUGGGUUAAGGUAUAAGUUCAGCUCAAUGUUGAGGUUUAAAUUUAGGUCCAGGUUUAGGACAAAAUGUUGGUUUCGGCACAAGUUUAGGUUUAGGUGUAAAUUCUGGUGUAAGUUGAGGUUUUGAGUUUUAGGUUCUGGUCUAGGUUCAGGUGUGUGUGUGUGUGUGUGUGUGUGUGUGUGUGUUCUCAGGUUACUGCAGUAAUUCUCUCCCACUUUCUGUGGUUUUUAUUACUCUCUCUCUCUCUCUCUCUCUCUCUCUCUCAGUCUUACAGGAGCUUCCGGGUAACUGUAUCAGCCAUAAACACACACACACACACACACACACACAGUAUAUAUAGAGAGAGCAGACAUGGGCUUGAGUGACCAAUGGUUGUUGAGUGUUUGCUAAAAAAAGAAGCUCUUUUGAUGGAGUUGCAUAAUGAGUGUGAUGUCAGCAUUGUUCUUCCCACGGUAACAAGUGACGCUGACGAGAGAGAGAGAGAGAGAGAGACAGAGAGAGAGAGAGAACGUGAAGGAGAGAGAGAGUCAACGCUGCAGGGAGAGAGGGAGAGCGAGAGAGAGAGAGAGAGUUUCCUGUCAAAACACACUCACACGGUUUAGAUCUCUUGGUGACACAGUGACAGAGAGGAGCUUCCCUUCUUCACACUUCCUGUGAUGCUGUUUAAUUACACUCUCCUGCUGCUGCUGCUGCACACACACACACACACACACACACACACACACACACACACACUGAACUUAUCGUCUCACAUCCAUCCUGACGUAACAGCACAGACAUAAACAUGAACUUACUGUGUGCGCUUUACUCACUGUUUAUUUUCAGGAAGGAGUUCCUAAAACCUUUAUUAUCUUGAUUGGCCACUAGAGGGCGACUCUACUGGUUUAUGUGUCACCCCGGGACUCCCCUGCAUGGAUGUUGUGUCACUUGACCAGAGAACGAGAAGAGAACGCGGGGCUUUUAUUCUGAAAACAAAAUCAGACGCUUAAUGUUCGUGAAAGUUUUGCGUUCCUUCGUAAUAUGUUUGCGUUUGACACGUCGUUUGAAUUCCAACGUUUGUUAACAACGUUCAUCCUUUCAUUACAAAUACAUGCUUUUAGGCUGGAUAUGAACAAAUACUCCUGAUUGUGUCUGUUAUUCUUCUUCUUGUUAUUAUGAUUUCUAGUCAGUCGAGUGUAAGACUGUUGAACCUUCACUCCAUUGAAUGCCAUUCCAAGUAUUUGAUGAGCCAUGAACCAUGUGAUCCAUUUACCAUCCAAACAUCCAUCGCUGAGCAAAAUGUCAAACUGGAAUGAGGAAUUCAUUUUGUUCUCUCCCUUCACGUGGGAUCAGCCAACAUGUUUCAGUGAUUUGAUCCUGGGGUUAAAAUAAGCUGCACGGAUCAAUGACGAAAUAUCGGCAAAUGUUUGAUGUCAAUAAACUUAACGUGAAAAAAAACCCCAUUCGACUCAUUAGAAGGAACAUCAUAAUAAUAAUUAAAUUUAAAAUGUCACCAUAGUUAAUGAACAAAAUGAUGUCUCGCCUGCGUGAUCAGAUUAAUAAAGUUUAUUCAUAGAGACGACGACAUAUGAAACAGACACAUGGCGGCGGAGUAAGUAAACAUAGACAAAAUGAUAUUUAUAAUACGACACAGAGCUGAUAAUCCUUUAAACUGAAGGUUGAUGGUUCCACUCUAAUUGUCAGGAGUCAAAAUUAACAUUUGAUAAGAGAAAAUUAAGCAAAUACAUACAAUUAUUCAUCAACUAGCAACAAGAAAUGACACGUUUUUCUUCUUUGGCUGUAAACUUUUGUGUUUGAAAAGAGUUUCAGACAAUACAGGUGUAUCCAACUGCAGCCACGCCCAUAGAAAGACACGCCCCCUUACAAAAAAUACUUGUAAUAAUCAUGUUAAAACGGUUUAAAUCUAUAAAUAUUAUAUAAAAGGGACAUCCACAGAAAUAGGUGGCAACGGGAGUUCUAGUAUUACAAAUUUUUCCCGAUUGUUGGGUGAAGGGGAGUGGUCUAUGUUGUCAUGAUCAUGUUUGUCUCAAUUCAAUCAUUUUAAAAUUUAAAAUUAUUUAAAAAUAAUUAGAAUUAGAUUUAGUUUUUGAUGAAUCACUGUGAUUUUUCGUGCUGGGUAGUCGAUCACCCAAGUAUGUUCCCAUUAAAUUUUGGUAAGAAUCGGCCAACUGAUGAUGUCAUCAAAUCUAUCUCAUUUUCAAGAAAUCCCCGUCUCUCAUCAAUGGGCAAAACUAAAAAAAAGAUAUAUUUUCUGUCACAACUCUGAACGUCGGAUUUGAACAAAAUUUGGUGUGUGUAUGCAGGCUGACACACUCUACCAUCAGACCAAGUCUCAUCUGGAUGUGUUUCAGAUUACAGAUUAGCCGGCAAUUUUAAAAUUAAAUUAAAAAUGAAAAAAUGUAACAUGGUUCCCAUUGAACACAUUCACGUGUGUAUAUUGGCAACAUCUUAACACAUGAGGAUGAAUUUUGUUAUGUUUAUGUAAGAUGGUAACAGCUAUAGGCAGGUUGUUACAUAUGGUUUCUAUAGGUUUAAUCACUGGAAAUGUUUGUUCUGUUCUAAACCUUGGAAUAUUAAGACCACAGCUCUGUUACAAUGUCCGCCUUCAGUUCAGUGAGUGCUGCAGUGUAACUUUAUCUCCCUGCGUUGGCAUUUUUGUCUGAUCGAGUCAAAGUGCAGCAGUAAUGCAGUAAAAAAUUCACAGGACUGUGCAGAUCACAGUGCGUAGACGUUCGUCUGGAAAACAAAGUGGAGUAAAAACACACACACACACACACACACACACACACACACACACACUGUUCUGUUAUUGAAACCUCAUACAGUCACGGUGUUGGUGCGAGAGACAAAUCAAGUGUGGCAGUGUCACAGUGUUUGUGUGGUCACCUUGAAGAGCCGCAAGCAUGCUGGGCCACAGACGGCGGUCUGAUUACUGCGCAGGUUCACGGGAAUAAUGAGCGAAUAAGAGCACGAACGCAACAGGAGGAGAAGUCGAUGGUGAGGUCUGUGUUGUUCAGAGCUGUAGACAGAGAUUUCACUCACGCUCUAAUCAGCUGCAGAAGCUGGAGUUUCAUCUGAUGUAGGAAAAAUGGUAUUAUGGUAUGGAGGCCCCGCAGGGUCAGUUUUGCAUUGCCUUCCAAUAGUUUUUACGUUCCUUGGUAAU